rnacentral:rRNA from 1 species
CCUACGGGGUGCUGCAGUGGGGAAUAUUGGACAAUGGGCGAAAGCCUGAUCCAGCCAUGCCGCGUGUGUGAAGAAGGCCUUCGGGUUGUAAAGCACUUUCAGUGGGGAAGAAAGCCUUGGGGCUAAUACCCUCGAGGAAGGACAUCACCCACAGAAGAAGCACCGGCUAACUCCGUGCCAGCAGCCGCGGUAAUACGGAGGGUGCGAGCGUUAAUCGGAAUUACUGGGCGUAAAGCGCGCGUAGGCGGUCUGAUAAGCCGGUUGUGAAAGCCCCGGGCUCAACCUGGGAACGGCAUCCGGAACUGUCAGGCUAGAGUGCAGGAGAGGAAGGUAGAAUUCCCGGUGUAGCGGUGAAAUGCGUAGAGAUCGGGAGGAAUACCAGUGGCGAAGGCGGCCUUCUGGACUGACACUGACGCUGAGGUGCAAAAGCGUGGGUAGCAAACAGGAUUAGAUACCCUUGUAGUC